AGGUGAGACCGAGACAGGUGAGAGCCGGGUGAGAGCCAGGUGAGAUCCAGGUGAGACCCAGGUGAGCGCGAGCCAGGUGAGACCGAGACAGGUGAGAGCCAGGUGAGCCCCGAUCCAGGUGAGACUGUGUCAGGUGAGAUCCAGGUGAGGUCCGGGUGAAUCCGAGCCAGGUGAGAUCCAGGUCAGAUCCAGAUGAGCCUGAUCCAGGUGAGUCUCAUCCAGGUGAGCCUGAUCCAGGUGAGAUGCAGGUGAGUGAGCCCUGAUCCAGGUGAGCCUGAUCCAGGUGAGCCUGAUCCAGGUGAGUCGGAGCCAGGUGAGUCCCGAUCCAGAUGAGUGAGCCCCGAUCCAGGUGAGUCCCAGCCAGGUGAGAUCCAGGUGAGUCCGAGCCAGGUGAGUCCGAGCCAGGUGAGUCCGAGCCA